rnacentral:misc_RNA from 1 species
GCUCAUUGAAAAUACAUUAAACUUCCCAAAAAUCAGUACAAAAGUGUCUUUAACACACAAAUCACUCUAAAAUCCCACUAGAAAGUAUUCAACUAAAUAAUUCAAGCACAAACUAGCAAAAACUAAUAUUUUUGUAUGUCAAUAGGGGUACCCAAUCAUUUUAAAAAUAGAAAGAGAACUCCAAUAGACUAAUUAACAGACUACUAUUAAUUCCAAACACACACAUAUAUAUUACAUAAACUAUUUUUCUAAUAUUAAUUUUUUUUAAAUCUGAUGCAUAAAAAUAUCAUGCGUUCUUGUAGGUGCGCAUCCCAAGAAAUGUGACGUAGACAGUCUAGCAAAAUUAACGAUCUUUAAUUAAAAGAAGGAUCGUUUAGCUGGAGCUCUGCCAACAGCUCUCAUCAAAUUGGAAAUUUCAACAACUUUUGCUACUUUUGUUCCUCUCUUUGCUUCUGCUGAUGCCUUUUUUUCUUCUGCUUUUCUGUGUGCUAUUGCUAUAUCAUUUUGCAUCUUUUCUAGGGCUUUUACCCUCUUCUCCUCCAGCUUCCUCUCAAUUUUUUUCAUCCAAGAAGUAGCUUUUUGUACUUCUUCACUUUCCCAUCCAUUAAUAACAGCAUCUUCACGUUUAAACCUAUUAUUAAUCUUCGAAAUUUUAGCAUUUUGCCAUGCACUUAUCUUCGAUUCAAUUUCUUCUUUUUUCACUCUUUGAACACUACUUACUUCUCCAAUAUUAUUUCUCAAAACAUUAUUAUUAUUAUUAUUAUUA